UACCAGCACCCCGAGUGGUCGGGACGUUUAUUGGGCCUAAAGCAUCCGUAGCCGGUUCUGCAAGUCUUCCGUUAAAUCCACCUGCUUAACAGAUGGGCCGCGGAAGAUACUAUAGAGCUAGGAGGCGGGAGAGGCAAGCGGUACUCGAUGGGUAGGGGUAAAAUCCGUUGAUCCAUUGAAGACCACCAGUGGCGAAGGCGGCUUGCCAGAACGCGCUCGACGGUGAGGGA
rnacentral:rRNA from 1 species